rnacentral:snRNA from 1 species
AUGUAUUCCAUGUAGGAGGAGUGGUAAGACUGGAAAAGAAAAAUGGAUUACAAUGUGCUGACCCCUGCGAUUUCCCCAAAUGUGGGAAACUCGACUGCAUAAUUUGUGGUAGUGGGGGACAGCGUUCGCACUCUCCCCUA